rnacentral:rRNA from 1 species
GACGAACGCUGGCGGCGUGCCUAAUACAUGCAAGUCGAACGCUGACGGAGGAGCUUGCUUCUCUGGAUGAGUUGCGAACGGGUGAGUAACGCGUAGGUAACCUGCCUGGUAGCGGGGGAUAACUAUUGGAAACGAUAGCUAAUACCGCAUAAUAGUAGAUGUUGCAUGACAUUUGCCUAAAAGGUGCAAUUGCAUCACUACCAGAUGGACCUGCGUUGUAUUAGCUAGUUGGUGGGGUAACGGCUCACCAAGGCGACGAUACAUAGCCGACCUGAGAGGGUGAUCGGCCACACUGGGACUGAGACAAGGCCCAGACUCCUACGGGAGGCAGCAGUAGGGAAUCUUCGGCAAUGGACGGAAGUCUGACCGAGCAACGCCGCGUGAGUGAAGAAGGUUUUCGGAUCGUAAAGCUCUGUUGUAAGAGAAGAACGAGUGUGAGAGUGGAAAGUUCACACUGUGACGGUAUCUUACCAGAAAGGGACGGCUAACUACGUG